rnacentral:piRNA from 1 species
UGAUUAUGCUGUAAACAAUGGAGGUUAAC